AACUCUCAAGAAUCAAACACUUU
rnacentral:snRNA from 1 species